rnacentral:rRNA from 1 species
UACGGGGGGAACGAGCGUUGUUCGGAUUUACUGGGUGUAAAGGGCACGCAGGCGGGAAGACAAGUCCGAUGUGCAACCCCGGGGCUUAACCGCGGGCCUGCAUUGGAAACUGUUUUUCUUGAGUACGAGAGAGGAUGGCGGAAUUCCUGGUGUAGCGGUGAAAUGCGUAGAUAUCAGGAAGAACACCGGUGGCGAAGGCGGCCAUCUGGCUCGAUACUGACGCUCAGGUGCGAAGGCUAGGGGAGCAAACAGG